AUGUAUCCGCGGACACUCCGGUUCCUCCGCGCUGUCCGCACCCGCCUGACAAUUACUCGCCAUGUUGUGUUCGCU
rnacentral:sRNA from 1 species